UUGUUGUUACUUGAGUUAAAUUCUGCAAAGUAAACAUUUUCCUGUAACAACCUCUAAGGAGACAGGAAAUUAAGACUAGUGGAUGAAUCGUGGCCGUUAGACUAGAGUGUGAUUAACAGCACCGAUGGCGGUUGUUAGGUCACAACUUCGAUUGUGGAGCCUGGGAUGGUCUAAUGAUUGUUUGACAAACU
rnacentral:snoRNA from 1 species